GUAGGUGGGGCAAGCGUUGUCCCGGAAUUAUUGGGCGUAAAGCGCGCGCAGGGCGGUCCUUUAAGUCUGAUGUGAAAGCCCACGGCUCAACCGUGGAGGGUCAUUGGAAACUGGGGGACUUGAGUACAGAAGAGGAAAGCGGAAUUCCAAGUGUAGCGGUGAAAUGCGUAGAUAUUUGGAGGAACACCAGUGGCGAAGGCGGCUUUCUGGUCUGUAACUGACGCUGAGGCGCGAAAGCGUGGGGAGCAAACAGGAUUAGAUACCCUGGUAGUCCACGCCGUAAACGAUGAGUGCUAAGUGUUAGGGGGUUUCCGCCCCUUAGUGCUGCAGCUAACGCAUUAAGCACUCCGCCUGGGGAGUACGGCCGCAAGGCUG
rnacentral:rRNA from 1 species